UUGGGAUCUGUCAGGUAAAUUAAGUUGCGAUUAUACCAUACAUACUAUUGCAUCAGUGGGACGCAUUAAAUGGAGACCACAGAAAAAAAUAUCACAUAGCAAGUUGUGUUCUAGUGAUUGAUUGUAGUAUAAAUGUAUGGGAUAUUCGCAGACCAUAUAUUCCAUUUGCAAGUUUCAAUGAACAUAAAGAUGUUCCCACAGAUGUGGGAGAGGCAAUCCACAAUCAUUUCUAUCGACAAGCAGAAAUUGCACUUUGUAUCAUCAUUUUUUGACGAUGCGGUAAGACCAGCCAGCAAAGCAAAUCCGCAAAGUAUUGCAUUAGGUUUAAAGGGUGCAGUCACAUAUGCUUGUAAAGUAAAAUAUGAACCGGCGGCUACCGCAAGAUAACUGACUAUAGUAUAAUGAGGAGAACACUUGUGACAAAUGAAGAUACUUUUUGUGCGGCUUCAAGUGUAACGCAUAGAUUCACUUUGAAACAGAAUUCCGCUAUUGGGACAUUACUUUGUUCAACUUGACAAUAGAAUAAUGUAAGUUUUUUAGCAUUAUAAAAAAUUUAUCAUUUCGGCACGGUUGACGAUUCAGGUUAAAUUGAUAAUAAAUCAACAAUGUAGGUUAUUCUGACAAUUAAAUCAUGUAUUUUCAUUUUGCUUCUGUCCGCGAUAUCUUGAAAUUAUAGUAAAAAAGAAACGAAAGGAUGAUCACUGCAAAUUUCAUAUCACAUCAUUCAUAUAAUUUUCUUUAUAAUAAUGAGUCCUCGUGCUGCAAUAUCUAAUUCUGAAAUUAUAAAAACUUUAAAAUAUUUUGAAAUUUGUGACAAUCAAACCGGCAAAUUGAAAUCUAAAUUUAAUUCAGUGUGGAGAGACAUAUGCGCAACAUGGGACAAUCAAAUGAAACCUUUUAAUUUAUACUUUUAUGUCUAUCAAAAUCGGCAUAACGUUUUCGAAACAUAUAAAAAGAUGAAAAAUGUGAUUAAUUUCAAUAACUUUACGAAAGAAAUUCUAAGUGAAACUGAGGACAUUGAUAUUUCUGACUUGUGUAAUGAUAGUAAUAGCUUCGACAGUUUUGAAUGGA